UGUCUUCAGGCUCUAGAACCCGAAGGCCAAGACGUGUUUCUUCCUCGACUGCAGUCGCGAGAUAAAGAAGUCAGUAGCGCGCCCAACACACAUUAAUAUAUUUUACUUCCCGGCCAAGGUCGACCGACGUAGUUAGCUUAUUAAUUACUUGGCAUGCGCGCCAUAUAGGCUUGGUAGUUUUUAGGGUCAACAUUUUGGCACGCUCGGUGGGACCCAUGCUAAAGCUACGAAGUUCAUAUGAUAUAUCAAGAUGUCAAUCUGACUCUGUUUAGCCGACAUGACCGGAUCCUUGAAGCAUGUGAAGAAAGGAAAAAAUCAUUCUCUUAAAUGAUAAAGGUGAAGGUUCAUCGCAGCUUACAAGAUCAAUUGUUAAAAGAAAAUAGAGCUCGAUUUAAUGUCUUGCUAGAUGGAGAACAUUUUCCUUAUGUUUUCAACUACAAAUCAAUUCCAUUUGAAGAAUGGUUGGUUGAAAAGACUGGGGUCAAUUUUACGCUCCGACCACAAUCAAAAUUAGGCCUAAGAAAAUUGUCAAGACGGCCGAAGAAAAACCUAGGCCACCUAUUUUUCUGUCAAGACUGAAAAUGUGGUAGGCCUAGAAGAAAAGGUUCAAGUUUCUAAGUCAAAAAUCGACUCAAAAAAUGAUUCGUCAGAUGAGUGUUCCAAUGACAAACAUGACCGAUACACGGCUUCAGACCAUAAAACCACAUCAAUUGAUAUGGUAAUUGGAGACAUGGUCUUAGACACCGAAACUACGUCAAUCGAUAUGAUUAUUGGCCAUAAAGCCAAUAUGAAGAAAUCCCGUUCAUCUAAGUUGUUAGAGUUAAAAGUCGAAAUUGGCCAAAUUAUUAUGCCCGGGGGGCUAAAUAAUUAUUCAACGCAUUCGACGACUGAAAAUAAAAAAUAUUUCGCCAAGUCAAAAGUUUUGGAAGUGAUUCUUUAUUCGGCCUAAAGCGAGAUCAAAGUGAGAAUUUUGAUACAAAAAGAUCCCACCUCGGACUAAAGCAUCGUUAGCCUCCUCCUCUUUAUAGUUCAACCAUUUUCAUUUUCUUUUGCUAAAAAAAAAAUAGAUGAAUAAAUUAUUUUCUUAACCAUUCGGUCUUUCAGACCAAUAUUUAAGAAAAUAUCGAGCCCUUGACAUAGUCUAAUCCAAACCGAUUUUCCCACAUACCAAUAUCAUUGCAUUUCGUCAUUGCUCCCAUAUGACGAAAGCGAGAAGUUUGUUUACCUGAAUAUUAAUUAUCACUGUUUGGCAGCAGAGAUAAUAGCGUCAAAAACUUAACCUCACAUCGCAAAUAGGUUAAUGGAAAGCAUUUAGUAUUAUUACCUAGUAUCAUGAAGCAAAUUGGAAGCCUGGAAAUCAACCAAGGUAAAUGUUGACAUAACUAUCAAUUCAUCUUUCAAAUUGACUCUAUCAGCAAUUUUGUCAUAUAAAACUGUUGACCCUAAAAACUACUAAGCCUACGUGGCCCGCAGGCCGCUUAACUAAUAAGCUAACUACGUCAUUCGGUUGUUUGCGGGGCGUG
rnacentral:lncRNA from 1 species